UGUACUUAUGUAUGUUUUUGUUUAACUUAUGGACAAAGACUUAUAGAUAAGUACAAAAAAUAAAUCCUCUUUUGCAACCCAGAACUCAUUGUUCAAUAUGAGUUUUGAUACAUGUAAGAAGGGAUAUU
rnacentral:snoRNA from 1 species